CCUACGGGAGGCAGCAGUGAGGAAUAUUGGUCAAUGGGCGAGAGCCUGAACCAGCCAAGUAGCGUGAAGGAUGACUGCCCUAUGGGUUGUAAACUUCUUUUAUAUGGGAAUAAAGUGAGCCACGUGUGGCUUUUUGUAUGUACCAUACGAAUAAGGAUCGGCUAACUCCGUGCCAGCAGCCGCGGUAAUACGGAGGAUCCAAGCGUUAUCCGGAUUUAUUGGGUUUAAAGGGAGCGUAGGCGGACUAUUAAGUCAGCUGUGAAAGUUUGCGGCUCAACCGUAAAAUUGCAGUUGAUACUGGUCGUCUUGAGUGCAGUAGAGGUAGGCGGAAUUCGUGGUGUAGCGGUGAAAUGCUUAGAUAUCACGAAGAACUCCGAUUGCGAAGGCAGCUUACUGGACUGUAACUGACGCUGAUGCUCGAAAGUGUGGGUAUCAAACA
rnacentral:rRNA from 1 species